rnacentral:rRNA from 1 species
CUUGGUCAUUUAGAGGAAGUAAAAGUCGUAACAAGGUUUCCGUAGGUGAACCUGCGGAAGGAUCAUUAUCGAUUUUUAAAGAUGUGCUGGCACUCCUUCACCGGUUUGCAUGUGCACUCUGCAAAAUCUCCUUCUCUUACCCCACUGUGCACACCCAAGUAGACAAACAGAGUUACAGAGCAAUCUGUGUAAUUCCUGAUUUGCCUAUGUUUUUAUCAAACACCAAUAACAAUCUCAGAAUGAUCUAUAUAGUAAGCUUUUAACAAGCUGAAAUUUAAUACAACUUUCAACAAUGGAUCUCUUGGUUCUCGCAUCGAUGAAGAACGCAGUGAAUUGCGAUAUGUAAUGUGAAUUGCAGAAUUCAGUGAAUCAUCGAAUCUUUGAACGCACCUUGCACCCUCUGGCAUUCCGGAGGGUAUGCCUGUUUGAGUGUCAUUAAUCUCUCAACACAAGAAACUUUGUCUCCUUGUGCUUGGAUAUUGAAGGUUUUGCUGGCGCAAACAACUGUCAGCUCCUUUUAAAUGUAUUAGCAGAGCAGUAUAGGACUGGCCUCGGUUUGAUAAGAAACUUUAUCUAUGCUGUCGCUGGGUUUUCCUCUUUGUGCUCAGCUUCAAAUUGUCUUCGGACUGUCUCUUGAGGCAACAAAAUCUCUAUUGAUCGACCUCAAAUCAGGUAGGACUACCCGCUGAACUUAAGCAUAUCAAUAAGCGGAGGA